UUAUGCGGUCUUAAAAUGAAUCGAAAUAAUGAAUUGGAAGGACAGUCUUGGAUCUUAUUAGGAGUGUUAAGCUGCGUACUUGGAGUUACUCUAUCAGGCAGCGUGUCUGGUUAUCAUACGCUAAUGCGACACCGUCGAGAUCUGAGAGCCACAAAUCUUGGGUAGCCAUGGAGACAUCUUAUGGUAGCCAUCAAACCAGUGAAGUCGCUAUGUAGGUAUAUUUUGUUUAUUUGAUAUUUUUUUAAGACUUAUACAUAAGUCGUGUACUUAAUACAGGUAAUUUACACAUA